rnacentral:rRNA from 1 species
GAUGAACGCUAGCGGCAGGCUUAACACAUGCAAGUCGAGGGGUAACAGGGAAGAGCUUGCUUUUCCGCUGACGACCGGCGCACGGGUGCGUAACGCGUAUAGAACCUACCUUUUACAGGGGAAUAGCCCAGAGAAAUUUGGAUUAAUGCCCCAUAGUAUUAUUGAAUGGCAUCAUUUAAUAAUUAAACAUUUAUGGGUAAAAGAUGGCUAUGCGUUCUAUUAGCUAGAUGGUAAGGUAACGGCUUACCAUGGCAACGAUAGAUAGGGGUCCUGAGAGGGAGAUCCCCCACACUGGUACUGAGACACGGACCAGACUCCUACGGGAGGCAGCAGUGAGGAAUAUUGGACAAUGGAGGCAACUCUGAUCCAGCCAUGCCGCGUGCAGGAAGACGGUCCUAUGGAUUGUAAACUGCUUUUAUAUAGGAAGAAACCUUUCCACGUGUGGAAAGCUGACGGUACUAUAAGAAUAAGCACCGGCUAACUCCGUGCCAGCAGCCGCGGUAAUACGGAGGGUGCAAGCGUUAUCCGGAAUCAUUGGGUUUAAAGGGUCCGUAGGCGGACUAAUAAGUCAGGGGUGAAAUCCAACAGCUUAACUGUUGAACUGCCUUUGAUACUGUUAGUCUUGAGUUAUAUGGAAGUAGAUAGAAUAUGUAGUGUAGCGGUGAAAUGCUUAGAGAUUACAUAGAAUACCGAUUGCGAAGGCAGUCUACUACG